GUCUAUGGCCAUGCCACCCUAAAGACACCCGAUCUCAUCUGAUCUCGGAAGCUAAGCAGGUCGGGCCUGGUUAGUACUUGGAUAGGAGACCACCUAGGAAGACCAGGUGCUGUAGGUG
rnacentral:rRNA from 1 species